rnacentral:rRNA from 1 species
GGGGAAUUGUUCGCAAUGGGCGCAAGCCUGACGACGCAACGCCGCGUGGAGGAUGAAGACCUUCGGGUCGUAAACUCCUUUCGAUCGAGACGAACGGCCUUCGGGUGAACCAUCCGGAGGAGUGACGGUACCGAGAGAAGAAGCCCCAGCUAACUCCGUGCCAGCAGCCGCGGUAAUACGGGGGGGGCAAGCGUUGUUCGGAUUUAUUGGGUUUAAAGGGUGCGUAGGCGGCCCUGUAAGUCAGUGCUGAAAUAUCCCGGCUUAACCGGGAGGGUGGCAUUGAUACUGCGGGGCUUGAGUACAGAUGAGGUAGGCGGAAUUGACGGUGUAGCGGUGAAAUGCAUAGAUAUCGUCAAGAACACCGAUAGCGAAGGCAGCUUACUAAGUUGUAACUGACGCUGAUGCACGAAAGUGUGGGGAUCAA